rnacentral:rRNA from 1 species
GAUCAUGGCUCAGGAUGAACGCUAGCUACAGGCUUAACACAUGCAAGUCGAGGGGCAGCAUGAACUUAGCUUGCUAAGUUUGAUGGCGACCGGCGCCCGGGUGAGUAACACGUAUCCAACCUGCCGAUGACUCGGGGAUAGCCUUUCGAAAGAAAGAUUAAUACCCGAUGGCAUAGUUCUUCCGCAUGGUAGAACUAUUAAAGAAUUUCGGUCAUCGAUGGGGAUGCGUUUCAUUAGGUUG